ensembl:lncRNA
CUCGCCCCCACCAUCUCCCUCCUGGGGCUGUGGGACCCCCGAUCCCCCAUGGUUUUGGGGUAGGGGUCUCCCAGGUCUUCACAAGUGCCCAAAUCCGGUGGCUUUUGCCCCACGUUGCAUCGUGGGGGGCGUUAACAGGGAGGUCCUGCAGCCACCUCGGCUCCUGCUGCACCCCUCGGGCUUACACACGUAUGCACACAUGCAUUCACACCUGCACAUACACUCACGCGCACCUGCACACCUGCAUGCACACCUGCACACAUACACAAACACGCACACCUGCACGCACACACAGAAAUGCAGGUCUGCAUGCACAAGCUUGACGUGCACGGCACGCAUGACGCCCCCCCGGGGGCUGCAUGACCCCAUGCAUCCCACCCCAGCCCUCGAAGCACGGCCUGCUCAGUGCUGAGCACAGCGUGCGUGUGUGUGCACAUGCGUGUGCACACGUGCGUGGGCUGGCCCAGCCUCCAGAGCUCAGUGCCCACGGUGGGACCGUCGCCUCGCCUUGCAGACACCAUGGUCCCGCGGGCCUGCUGCCUGCUGGUGGGGCUGUGCGCCCUGCUCCCCCAUACCACCCCCCAGCAGGACCCCCCGGGGGACCCUGAGCGCUGUGGCAUCACCUUCCACGCCCCGAACCCCUGCGGUCCACCCCACGUGCCAUCCCCUCUUGCCUCCCGCGAAGAGCUGGAGCACCUGCAGAGCCUCUUGCAGCAGAACAGGGCCACGCUGCAGGAUGUGGAGGCGGUGGCGGUGCUGGAGGAACCCCAAUCCCGGUACCAGGAUGUGAUCAAUGAGGCUCUGCCUGCCAUCCGUGGGGCCAACCAGGAAUUUGGGGAGAGCCUGGACAACGUGCGCAGGGAGCUGGAGGCUCACGUGGCCCAGAGCGAUCACCCGCAGGUGGUGGAGAAGAGGGAGAAGCUGCGCAAGGACCUCCGCCUGGUGGCCCACGUGCUGAAUCUCACCUCCCACCUUGCCCACGUCCUCGACGCCUCCUCCCAACGCCUCCAGGAUGAGCUGAGCCACCGCCUGCAGCGCUCAGCCGCCCGUGCUGCUGCUGCCCAGCCGUAGGACACGGGCAGGGCUCUGCCAUUGCUAUCCAUACAGCCUCGCUUGCUGCAGAGCUCUGAGCCCCUUUGCUUCUCCCUGAACAUGCUAUGCCCAUGCAACCAUUUGCAGCCAGCCAAAAUCAGCCAAAAUCUGAGAAACAUGGAACAUCUCAAGCUGGAAGGGAGCCCCAAGGAUCACUGAGUGCAACCCCAAAAAUCCAAACUCAGUGUCUGUCUUCAUCCAUGCUGUUCCUUUCUACAAAUGGUCGCCGUCUCCUUUGGGGCAUGGAUGGUGGUGGGGUUGGGGAUGGGCAUGGGAUGAGAUGGGCAUGGAGAUGGAGAUGGGCAUGGGGAUGGGGGUAGGGAUGGGGGUGGGGAUGGGGAUAGAGAUGGAGAUGGGGAUAAGGAUUCGGAUGGGGAUGGGGAUAGAGUUG